rnacentral:rRNA from 1 species
AGCAGCCGCGGUAAUUCCAGCUCCAAUAGCGUAUAUUAAAGUUGUUGCAGUUAAAAAGCUCGUAGUUGAAUUUCGGGGUUCUACCGUUGGUCAGGCUAUUGUCUGUACUGGCGUGUAGAAUUUCUACCUUCUGGGAACUAUCAUGUUAUUAAUUUAGCGUGGUAGGAAACCAGGACCUUUACCUUGAAAAAAUUAGAGUGUUCAAAGCAGGCUUAUGUCUGAAUACAUUAGCAUGGAAUAAUAAAAUAGGACGGUGGUCCUGUUUUGUUGGUUUCUGAAUCACCGUAAUGAUUAAUAGGGAUAGUUGGGGGCAUUAGUAUUCAAUUGUCAGAGGUGAAAUUCUUGGAUUUAUUGAAGACUAACUACUGCGAAAGCAAUUUGCCAAGGAUGUUUUCAUUAAUCAAGAACGAAGUUAGGGGAUCGAAGACGAUCAGAUACCGUCGUAGUCUUAACCAUAAACUAUGCCGACUAGGGAUCGGACGAUGUUAACUUUCUUGACUCGUUCGGCGUCCUUACGGGA